rnacentral:rRNA from 1 species
AGUAACGCGUGGGUAACCUGCCUCAUACAGGGGGAUAACAGUUAGAAAUGACUGCUAAUACCGCAUAAGCGCACAGUGCUGCAUGGCGCAGUGUGAAAAACUCCGGUGGUAUGAGAUGGACCCGCGUCUGAUUAGCUAGUUGGUGGGGUAACGGCCUACCAAGGCGACGAUCAGUAGCCGGCCUGAGAGGGUGAACGGCCACAUUGGGACUGAGACACGGCCCAA